UAACAAUGUCUCUAUUGAGACAUUCUUAGAAAAAAGAACAGCCGAUUUAUUAGCAUUUAUCUUCUGCCCAGAGAGGGCGCAAAAAUGGUUCAAACAGUU